rnacentral:rRNA from 1 species
GACGAACGCUGGCGGCGUGCCUAAUACAUGCAAGUAGGACGCAGUUGCGAACGGGUGAGUAACGCGUAGGUAACUACCUAUUAGAGGGGGAUAACUAUUGGAAACGAUAGCUAAUAACGCCUACUCGUAGAUUGACCUUCGUUGUAUUAGCUAGUAGGUAGGGUAAUGGCCUACCUAGGCAACGAUACAUAGCGGACCUGAGAGGGUGAUCGGCCAAACUGGGACUGAGACACGGGCAAGACGACUCCGGGAGGCAACAGUAGGGAAUCUUCGGCAAUGGGGGGAAACCUGACCGAGCAACGCCGCGUGAGUGAAGAAGGUUUUCGGAUCGUAAAGCUCGGUUGGUAAGGAAGCGGUACUUAACCAGAAAGGGACGGCUAACUACGUGCCAGCAGCCGCGGUAAUAC